rnacentral:rRNA from 1 species
AUUUGAUUUAACUUAGUGGCGGACGGGUGAGUAACGCGUGAGCAACCUGCCUUUCAAGGGGGACAACAGUUGGAAACGACUGCUAAUACCGCAUGAUACAGCGAGGAGGCAUCUCUUUGCUGUCAAAGAUUUAUCGCUGAAAGAUGGGCUCGCGUAUGAUUAGAUAGUUGGUGAGGUAACGGCUCACCAAGUCGACGAUCAUUAGCCGGACUGAGAGGUUGAACGGCCACAUUGGGACUGAGACACGGCCCAGACUCC